CAAGCCAUCAUAUUUCAUGAGGAUGUUCAUAGGAAAAAGUAAAACUUCACAGAGAAGAGAACAUUAGCCUAUGCCAUAAGGCAGUACAAACUCGAAAACGUCUCUAGAUUAAAAGCAUAACAUUUUGCAUAUGUAGAUCAAAGGUUUCAAGAAUCUUACUCAAAUCCAUGGCAAAAUAGAGUAAAGUCAAAGGCAAAGAAGUGAGUAUAUCUAUAGGCCAUAACGCAACUAUAAGUACACUAUGUCCAAUACAAACAAGGAUUAGACUAGCAUUCCUAUGGUCAGUAAUUACAUCACAUAAGCUCUCUUGCAGUACCAAAUGUGAUAGGAGAUUUGUAAAACCUAUAUGCCUCAAAAAAUGGAUUCUAAACCAUAAUCACUAGUGCAAAUGUGCUGA